CUUGGCGUGUAUGGGCAUGUCGGAUCCUGCUCGGGCAGCGACGCAUCUUCUGCGCGCAUUUUCAAUUGUCGGUUCAAGUGUGAGUUCACCUUGGCCGAUGUCGGUUUUCUGUGUUGCGUACCUGUCCCGGAGGUAUAUGGUCGGCUAAAAAUGUCCCGUUUCCGUCCUACAUUGCGCCCCUCCAAGGGCGCGGCGUGGGAUGGACUGUGAAGGUCCGUUGUGUUCCAUAUCCAACACGUCAUUGUGUUUGGGUUGUUGGCGCAUGGCGGCAUGCUCGAUCUUUCGGAUGCGGAAAAUUGAGUGGGUACGAGGCGUUUGCUCUCUAUUUGCCCCANAAAGAAAAAAAAAGCGUCUCACGCUCUUAGCGAACGACGACCGAAGCCGUAUUGAUCGGUCCUUGUGGUUGCCUCAUGCGGGUCGUGUCGUGAGAA
rnacentral:misc_RNA from 1 species